UCUCCUCUCAACCCUUCCGAACCCUCGCUCCGCCUCAUGUGCACUAAAUUAGGCAUGCUUUCGUUCAACACUACAUAUGGCAAGUAAUUACUCAUAAAAAGCGGAGCUCGGCCACUCGAAUUAGACUGGAAUCAUACCGUUCAGCCAUUUGCUGGAGUUCCGGCGCAGUAAAUCGAAGGUUUCGAGCAUAGUCAGCGCCUGGCGUUGGAGGAUCUUUUUUAAGAGGCGAUUUAUCGACGUUUUAGGACCUAACAUCGAGAAAGGUUUUCGAGGUACAUUUUCGCGAUUUUCAUUGAAUUGAUAUUAGCUUCAAUCGCACUGCUACAUGUCGAAUCACAACAUAUCAAGUUGAUCUACUAACUAGAUCAAUUGGAAGGUCAUCCUCAACAGAAAUUCAACAGUAAGCAUCAAAGUAUCGGAGUUGCUAGGGUCAGGGAAAUCAAUGCUGCAGAAACUGAGCUAUGAAUUUGAUGAAAACAUGAUUUUGUGAGUAAAUGGAAAGUAAUUAUGGUCUAUCCAUUACAGCAUCAUGUGUUGUGUUACACAUGCGUUGCAGUGUCUGGUCCAAGAAUAUCCUUCAGCAUCAAUCUGCAUAAGUACAACCGAACUGCGUCUCUGAAAAAUAUUUGAAAUUCUCGGAUUCCUGUCUGGUCUUUUUACAUGGAUGUCUUUUAGGGACAAAAAUAACAAAAAUGGAAGACUGAAAAGUUAGGGUCUGGAGGAGUAGGGACUUGGAUUGAUCCAAGAUAUUUCCGUCGGUCUGCAACACAAAUUAUAGAUCUGGAGGAUCUGUAAUAAGCGCACAAAUGCAGUAGGAUCUAGAGGAUUAGCGUACAAAUGCAGA